ACAUGCCUACAACAUAGCGUUAAUGCACUGGAUCCCAUUAGAACUUCGUAGUUAAAAGAACUUACGCUAGAGUAGUACUGGGAUAGGUGACCGCUCGAGAAGUCCUAGUGUUUUACAUGAU
rnacentral:rRNA from 1 species